rnacentral:rRNA from 1 species
CCAUAUAAAAAUGGCGGCAUUUCAUCUUAUUAGAGGAAUAUGUCCUUUAAUCGAUAAUACACGAUAAAUUUUACCUUCUACAAAAUCUUAUAUACCACCAUCCUAAAAUUUUAUUUUGAAAUUUAAUUUUAAAAAUAUUAUAAUAAGUUAGGUAAAGGUGUAGACUAUUUAAAGGAUGAGAUGUAUUACAAUAAAUACAAUUUAAGGAAAGAAUUUUAAAUAACUCUUUAAAGGGGAUUUAACAGUAAUUUUAAAAUAAUAAUUUAUCAUGAAUAAGAAAAUAAAUGUGC